CGAACACACCUUCCCUGUUUUUGUGACUCAUUAGAUAGGUAUUUCACUUGACCCAUAUAUUUCAUCUUUUAGUACUGUUAUUUUUUUGUGUUAUAAAGUCAACCUGUAGCUUUAAUAUAUAAAAAUGAUAGAAUCUGAAGCGAGACGAUGUAUGAAAUAUUCUUACUUUGAACGAUAUCAAGACUAAAUACUCAACUCAAACACGCCCUAACAUAAAAAGGUGCACUCGAUUUUCUCUUUUCGAUACAAUUGUUACCUAUUUUUUGGAAUUUUUUCUUCAGUCACAUAAUGGAAGGGCAGACACGAAAAUUACUGAACUAAUAGAUUGAUAUCUUUUCCGUCCGUGGUAAUUUUUUCAAAAAAAUCGGAGGUUAUGCAUUUUUGUCAUCCAACUUGAAAGAUACCCAUGUCGUCGACUUGAUAUCUAAUUGUUCUGCUUAACUAUGUACUAGAUAAAUUGAAAACUUAUGCAAAUGGUGUUUUUGAAAUAAAAC
rnacentral:lncRNA from 1 species